rnacentral:rRNA from 1 species
AUGAAGUAUGAUCCACAAUAUGCAUGCUCAUGGUUUGGGUGUUCUCGAGAUACAAGGAUAUCACCUCGAAAGUAUGUCCUUGUCCGUUUGUCACAAUGUCGAAGUGGUAGGAAAUGUGGUGUAGAAGCGAGUCAUGGUCGAAUGUAUGAGGCUCGCUCUCAAGAGCUCGAAUGGUCAACUCAUAUGAAGUGGAAGUCGAGACGAAGUCCAAGUAUCCUACACAUGCACACAACAAAAAAAGAGCGUAUGCGCAUGGUAGAUAAACACAUCAUCCAUCAUGAUGGUUCUCUUCUCUUGCACAUAACCAUUAGAAGCACAAGUGGAUGA